UCCUUAUCUGCUUUGUUCAUAUGCUAGUAUUGCUAUCGGAGUUUUGCAGAGUCAGUUGUGACUCUGAUGAGCAGUCCUUUUACCUACAGUUCCUUGAAAGUCUGAAAGCUGAUGCACAGAACUCCUCUGAACUGAACCCCUCCGCCUCCCAACUUAAAAUGGCCAUACAGAGACUUUGAGGCAUGUGCUGGGGACCUGCGAGUCUGCGGCUAACUGGACAAACGGGCCAAAUCUCUCAGCUUCUAUUUGAACCCCGAACUCCAUCUUGGAAUGCCUAAGAGGAUCGGAUGUUUAUGUUGCGUUUUCCAUGAUUGAUUUUGAACAGAGAUUUUUCUUUUUUAAAAAGAAAAAGUGCAACAUUGUUUCGUUGGUGAACUACAUUGCAAAAUUUGAAUAAGUGUGAAUUUUGAAGGA